UGUCCCGUGGCUAGGUAAUAUGUUUAUUCAAGACUGUCUUCUUUGAAGUAGAUCCUCUUUGAAACGAAUGCCUGGCAAUCAAAGCUUAAAGCGUGGAAGGGAGGACAGAAGACGGAAAUUAAUGUGAGAGACAUCAAUUGGUUGCCUCUCGCUGAAUUUCUGACCAGGGCCCCGGAUUGAGUCUGCAACCCAGGUAUAAACUCAGGUGGACUGGGCCAAGAAAUCAAAUGGAAUGUGAGAGGCUCCUCUGCACCGAGAGUUGCCCUAUCCUAGGCUGCAGUGUGGAAAAUGUCUCACAUAGAAGAAUCGGAAUGGCUUCCAGAAAACUCAACCCAAACAGGAUGAAAAAUGAAAUGUACACAAUGAUUACAGCUCUGCUAAAAUAUAUCGGUCAAUGGACCCACACUGGAAAUGAAUAAGCAAAAAUGACAAAUUGUGUGAUAUGGUGGUAAUACUGGGGAUGAGUUUUCUUUUGUCCUCUAUUUUCUAAGCUUUCCGUGAUGUCAUUAUCCAGGGUGGGGCAAAAGCAGGUUUACAGUUGUGAGUAUG